GACGGAGGGUGCUAGCGUUGUUCGGAAUUACUGGGCGUAAAGGGCGUGUAGGCGGCCAUGUAAGUCGGGUGUGAAAGCCCGGGGCUCAACCCCGGAACGGCACCCGAGACUGUGUGGCUCGAGACCGGAAGAGGUGAGUGGAAUACCCAGUGUAGAGGUGAAAUUCGUAGAUAUUGGGUGGAACACCGGUGGCGAAAGCGGCUCACUGGCCCGGUUCUGACGCUGAGGCGCGAAAGCGUGGGGAGCAAACAGG
rnacentral:rRNA from 1 species